rnacentral:Y_RNA from 1 species
GGCUGGUUCGAAGAUAAUGUUAUCUCAAUUAAUUGUUCACAGUCAGUUACAGAUUGAACUCCUUGUUCUACUCUUUCCCCACUUCUCACUGCUGCACUUGACUAGUCUAGA